rnacentral:rRNA from 1 species
UGAGUAACCUGCCCUUCACUCUGGGAUAACUCCGGGAAACCGGGGCUAAUACUGGAUAUGACUCGAACAGGCAUCUGUUUCGGGUGGAAAGAUUUAUUGGUGGAGGAUGGACUCGCGGCCUAUCAGCUUGUUGGUGAGGUAAUGGCUCACCAAGGCGACGACGGGUAGCCGGCCUGAGAGGGCGACCGGCCACACUGGGACUGAGACACGGCCCAGACUCCUACGGGAGCA